ACGUAGGAGACGAGCGUUGUCCGGAGUUACUGGGCGUAAAGGGUGCGCAGGCGGCCCGCCGCGUGUGGGGUGAAAUCUCCCGGCUCAACUGGGAGGGGGCCCGUGCAAACGGGCGGGCUUGAGGGUCGCAGAGGGGCGUGGAAUUCCGGGUGGAGCGGUGAAAUGCGUAGAGAUCCGGAGGAACACCGACGGCGAAGGCAGCGCCCUGGACGACACCUGACGCUCAGGCACGAAAGCUGGGGGAGCAAACAGGAUUAGAUACCCUGGUAGUCCCAGCGGUAAACGAUGUCCACCAGGCGCCGGGGGUAUCGACCCCUCCGGUGCCGAAGCUAACGUGAUGAGUGGACCGCCUGGGGAGUACGGCCGCAAGGUUA
rnacentral:rRNA from 1 species